rnacentral:rRNA from 1 species
GAUGAACGCUAGCUACAGGCUUAACACAUGCAAGUCGAGGGGAAACGGCAUUGAGUGCUUGCACUCUUUGGACGUCGACCGGCGCACGGGUGAGUAACGCGUAUCCAACCUUCCCAUUACUGUGGGAUAACCUGCCGAAAGGCAGACUAAUACCGCAUAGUCUUCGAUGACGGCAUCAGAUUUGAAGUAAAGAUUUAUCGGUAAUGGAUGGGGAUGCGUCUGAUUAGCUUGUUGGCGGGGUAACGGCCCACCAAGGCGACGAUCAGUAGGGGUUCUGAGAGGAAGGUCCCCCACAUUGGAACUGAGACACGGUCCAAACUCCUACGGGAGGCAGCAGUGAGGAAUAUUGGCCAAUGGACGGAAGUCUGAACCAGCCAAGUAGCGUGCAGGAUGACGGCCCUAUGGGUUGUAAACUGCUUUUGUAUGGGGAUAAAGUUAGGGACGUGUCCCUAUUUGCAGGUACCAUACGAAUAAGGACCGGCUAAUUCCGUG